GUGAACNUGCGGAAGGAUCAUUA
rnacentral:rRNA from 1 species